rnacentral:rRNA from 1 species
CCUACGGGUGGCUGCAGUGGGGAAUAUUGGACAAUGGGCGCAAGCCUGAUCCAGCAAUGCCGCGUGUGUGAAGAAGGCCUUAGGGUUGUAAAGCACUUUCAGUGGGGACGAAAAGCCGCAGGAUAAUACCCGGCGGUCUUGACUUAACCCACAGAAGAAGCACCGGCUAACUCCGUGCCAGCAGCCGCGGUAAUACGGAGGGUGCAAGCGUUAAUCGGAAUUACUGGGCGUAAAGCGCGCGUAGGUGGUUUGGCAAGUCGGAUGUGAAAGCCCUGAGCUUAACUUAGGAAUUGCAUUCGAUACUGCCUGGCUAGAGUAUGGUAGAGGGAAGCGGAAUUCCGCAUGUAGCGGUGAAAUGCGUAGAUAUGCGGAGGAACACCGAUGGCGAAGGCAGCUUCCUGGACUAAUACUGACACUGAGGCGCGAAAGCGUGGGGAGCAAACAGGAUUAGAUACCCCGGUAGUC